rnacentral:rRNA from 1 species
CGUUAUACAAAAAAUGUGAUUUAAUUUUGUUGGUUUAAUAGUAGUUAAUUUUUAUUUAUAAUUUAUUUUUUUAAGUUUUUAGGUGAAAUUUAAAUUUCAAUUAAUUUUAUUUAGGUUCUUCUAAAUAUAAAUAAUAAACUAGGAUUAGAUACCCUAUUAUUUUAUAUGUAAAUAUUUAUACCUAGGUAAUAAUAGUUAUGUUCUUUAAACCUAAAGAAUUUGGCGGUGUUUUAAGUCUAUUCAGAGGAAUUUGUCCCGUAAUCGAUAAUCCCCGUUUUAUCUUACUUUACUUUGUUUAUUUUAUGUUCAGUUUGUAUACCGCCGUUAUAAGUUUAUUUUUUAAGAAUUAAAAUUUACUUUAUAUUAAUUUAAUAGUAUUUCA